UACGGAGGGAGCUAGCGUUGUUCGGAAUUACUGGGCGUAAAGCGCACGUAGGCGGCUUUGUAAGUUAGAGGUGAAAUCCCGGGGCUCAACUCCGGAACUGCCUUUAAGACUGCAUCGCUUGAAUCCAGGAGAGGUGAGUGGAAUUCCGAGUGUAGAGGUGAAAUUCGUAGAUAUUCGCAAGAACACCAGUGGCGAAGGCGGCUCACUGGACUGGUAUUGACGCUGAGGUGCGAAAGCGUGGGGAGCAAACAGG
rnacentral:rRNA from 1 species